rnacentral:rRNA from 1 species
CUACGUGCCAGCAGCCGCGGUAAUACGGAAGGUCCAGGCGUUAUCCGGAUUUAUUGGGUUUAAAGGGAGCGUAGGCCGCCUCUUAAGCGUGUUGUGAAAUGCGGGUGCUCAACAUCCGACUUGCAGCGCGAACUGGGGGGCUUGAGUGCGCCGAAAGUAGGCGGAAUUCGUGGUGUAGCGGUGAAAUGCUUAGAUAUCACGAAGAACUCCGAUUGCGAAGGCAGCUUACUGUAGCGCAACUGACGCUGAUGCUCGAAAGCGUGGGUAUCGAACAGGAUUAGAUACCCUGGUAGUCCACGCAGUAAACGAUGAUAACUGGGCGUAUGCGAUAUACAGUAUGCUCCUAAGCGAAAGCGUUAAGUUAUCCACCUGGGGAGUACGCCGGCAACGGUGAAACUCAAAGGAAUUGACGGGGGCCCGCACAAGCGGAGGAACAUGUGGUUUAAUUCGAUGAUACGCGAGGAACCUUACCCGGGCUUGAACUGCAGCUGAACGAUUCAGAGA